rnacentral:rRNA from 1 species
UGGGGAAUAUUGGACAAUGGGCGAAAGCCUGAUCCAGCCAUGCCGCGUGUGUGAAGAAGGUCUUCGGAUUGUAAAGCACUUUAAGUUGGGAGGAAGGGCAGUAAGCGAAUACCUUGCUGUUUUGACGUUACCGACAGAAUAAGCACCGGCUAACUCUGUGCCAGCAGCCGCGGUAAUACAGAGGGUGCAAGCGUUAAUCGGAAUUACUGGGCGUAAAGCGCGCGUAGGUGGUUCGUUAAGUUGAAUGUGAAAGCCCCGGGCUCAACCUGGGAACUGCAUCCCAAACUGGCGAGCUAGAGUAGGGCAGAGGGUGGUGGAAUUUCCUGUGUAGCGGUGAAAUGCGUAGAUAUAGGAAGGAACACCAGUGGCGAAGGCGACCACCUGGGCUCAUACUGACACUGAGGUGCGAAAGCGUGGGGAGCAAACAGG